rnacentral:misc_RNA from 1 species
UGUCAUUUUCACACGCGAAAUGCUCUGGCUAGAUUUGUCAGCAACAGGAUCAUCAGCUCAUUCGCUAUAGCUCCGCUUUAUCAGUAUUAUACGCUAAAAACACGCACGCACACUGACAUACACAAGAAACAGUUUUCCAUUGCACAUCAAACCCCUUUUCAAGAUGAGCGAUUAUCUUUCGAAGUUGAAGGAGCACGUGCUGGAGAGCACCGAAGUCAAUGGAUGCACACCGAGCAUGGCCACUUCGACUUUCAAUGCCCCGUAUGAGGUUGCACGCAGGACCAAGGUGCUGGGAGCCACGGACAGCAGCCUGUUGAGCUUGCCUGCGUGGAAGCGCUUGCAGUCCCUGUACGAGAAGCACGGCAACGAGUCCAUCCUUUCUCAUUUUGAGAACGAUCAUCAGCGCUUUGGGCGGUACUCGAUUGAGGUUGGCCUGCACAGCGAGGAAAAUUUCCUCUUCCUCGACUACUCCAAGUCGCACAUCAACGACGAGAUCAAGGAUGCGUUGGUUGCGCUGGCCGAGGAACGUGGAGUGCGGGCGUUCGCCAAGGCUAUGUUUGAUGGGCAGCGGGUGAACUCUACUGAGAACCGCGCCGUGUUGCAUGUGGCGCUGCGCAACCGCAGUAACCGCCCGAUCAUCGUUGACGGGAAGGAUGUGAUGACCGAUGUGAACAAUGUGCUUGCCCAAAUGAAGGACUUCACCGAAAAGGUCCGCAGCGGAGAGUGGAAGGGUCAGACGGGCAAGAGCAUUUCCAACAUAGUCAACAUCGGGAUUGGCGGCAGCGACCUUGGCCCGGUCAUGGUGACCGAGGCACUGAAGCCGUUCUCCAAGCGCGACAUGCACUGCUUCUUCGUGUCCAACGUCGAUGGGACACACAUGGCUGAGGUUCUGAAGCAGGUGAACCUGGAGGAGACCAUCUUUAUCAUUGCAAGCAAGACGUUCACUACACAAGAAACGUUGACGAAUGCCAUGUCUGCACGCAACGCGCUCAUGGACUACCUCAAAGCAAACAACAUCUCGACGGAUGGCGCCGUUGCAAAGCAUUUUGUUGCCCUAUCGACCAACACGGAAAAGGUUCGCGAGUUUGGCAUUGAUACCGUCAACAUGUUUGUGUUCUGGGACUGGGUCGGUGGUCGCUACUCUGUGUGGUCCGCCAUCGGUCUCUCCGUGAUGCUUUCGAUCGGCUACGACAACUUUGUGGAGUUCCUGACUGGCGCGCACGUGAUGGAUAACCACUUUGCGUCUGCACCGACGGAGCAGAACCUGCCGAUGAUGCUGGCUUUGGUCGGCAUCUGGUACAACAACUUUUUCGGCGCGGAGACAGAGGCGGUGCUGCCGUACGACCAGUACCUGUGGCGUCUGCCGGCCUACCUUCAGCAGCUCGACAUGGAGAGCAACGGCAAGGGCGUGACCAAGAAGUCUGGUGCAGUGGCUGUGCAGACGGGCCCCAUUAUCUUCGGUGAGGCCGGCACAAAUGGUCAACAUGCAUUCUACCAGCUCAUUCACCAGGGCACCAAGAUCAUCCCGUGCGAUUUCAUUGGCUGCGUCCAAACACAGAACCGUGUGGGCGACCACCACCGGAUCCUGAUGAGCAACUUUUUCGCGCAGACGGAGGCGCUCAUGGUAGGAAAGAGUGCGGAGGAGGUCCGCCAGGAGCUGGCCAAGUCUGGUAUGUCGGAUGAGGCCAUUCAGAGUAUGAUUCCGCACAAAACGUUUACGGGAAACCGUCCCAGCAACUCGAUCCUGGUGAAUGCUCUUACUCCGCGUGCGCUGGGUGCUAUCAUCGCCAUGUACGAGCACAAGGUUCUCGUCCAGGGCGCGAUCUGGGGCAUCAACAGCUAUGACCAGUGGGGUGUGGAGCUUGGCAAGGUGCUUGCCAAGUCUAUCUUGCCGCAACUCAAGUCCGGCAACAUCGUCUCCGAUCACGACGGCUCUACGAACGGCCUGAUCAAUAUGUUCAACACGCGCGCACAUCUGUGAAAAAGUCUCUUGAUGCUACUAUUUAGAGCUGCGAAGUGCAUGUUCUCUUUCCUUCCUUUGUUGGCGAUUCAACGGACAGGUAGCGAGGAUCGGGAAAGAACUGCGUUUGCUCUCUCUGCUGUGAUCGCCUCUCGGGGGACGGGCGAAGAAAGCAGCAUAUCAAAAAACUAUACACUGCUUGAAAAACUGAAAGUGGGCGAUGGGCUCACACAAUGUAACUCUAUUGUGAAAAAGAGGCAUUCGAGCACAGGAUUCGAAAACCCUUGAGUUCCUCAAAGGCUGAAUCAGCAACCACGACAAAACACACAGCCCAGCUUCUCUUCACCAAGUAUAGUUCAGUUUCCUACACAACUCGUUCCAGGGCGGACACUAUAAGUCUCGAGCACGGCUUUCGAGAAGAACGACAGUAGCCAUGACUUCAUAUCGUGUGAGAGGGGACGCUUCUUUUCAUUCGCUAUUCGAGUGGUCUGAAGAGGAAAAAACAAACCACUAUCUUCUGGAUCGUGUCUGCAGCGCAGCUUUCCUUUCAGUUUGCUGAAGCGUUUUUACUAUUGUGGCAAUGAAGCUCGGAGAAUAUGAAAGCAGUGUGC